rnacentral:lncRNA from 1 species
UGGUUGCUGCUCUCCAUGAGCUGUUCCAACUGUGAAGCAAAAGCUUCAUGCAUAAAGGCAUCCCAACGCAGUCAAUGACGCACAGGAGAAAGAGGACAGAGAUAAGCUUCUUGCCUGUUCCAGACACUGAGGAUCAGGCAGAGAGAGAGGCUCCUGCCAGGCUGAGCAGCCGAAUGUUUUCCUUGGCUGAAUGGCAAGCAAGCACCAAGUGUCCACAGUUUCCGGAGUGUGGAUAUGAACAGCCGUCUUGGGUCCUGAGGUGGAAGCCAUGUGUGGAAGAUGGAGGGCAUCGGUUAGAAGGAGUCUAGUCCCUGAUGGUCACUGAGCUGCAGAACCAGCCUGGGCUGCUUCCUGCUGGAUGUCACUUACUAGAGAGCGAAAUUAAAUGUGCUUCAGCUACUGUU